CCGCGUCUCACCCCGGGCCGGAAGGGCUCCUGCGCAGGCGUUUGUAGCCACUUUUAAGUUUUAUCAGCUAGUUCAUGCUUGCGUUGAAAGAGUGGUCGUUUGCGCUGGGUCAUCACUGUGUAGUAUUGGGGAUACUUAGGUGAGAAAAAAACUUAACGCUAGAGACGUUCACGCACUAGUGGAGAAGCCAGGAUUGUUGCCCUAGAGUUACAGUAGAUAAAAGUACCUCAGAGAACUGCGGGGGCUCCCAACCUGGACGCUUGCACCGGAGUAUUAAAUCCAGCUAGAGAAUGGCAUGUGCAAAGAUACAGAGCUUUUAGAAGUUGCCUGCAUUCCUUGGCCCCUUCCUCACAUCAUUCCAACCAACUUCCAUCCUUACAAUCGAUUACUUUCCUGUAAUAGCUACAGUCAAAUGGGCAGCUGAAGAUGAUGAUGAUGAUGAUCUUGACACCGAGAAGCAGAAGACCAAUGAAGAUGACCAGACAGCAAAAAAGGAUAAGUUAAAAGAAGGUAAAAGAAGGCCACUCGUACUUGCUGUCUCAGUAUCUAAAGGUGGUCACC
rnacentral:lncRNA from 10 species